rnacentral:lncRNA from 1 species
UAAAAGCAGUGAAGGAGAUGGCGACUGAUACAGCAACCCAUGAAGGAGUGUCCUUAUUCUUCAGCUGAAAUAAAUCAAGAGUUUUUCUUGGAGUACUACAAGCUACAGCCAUAAUUAGAAAAUCAAAGUAUUUUAGAACAUGUUCAACAGGAGAACAUUUCACUAUAGAGGUGAGUACUCACAUUUAUAGUAGUCCUAAAUGGGGGAAAAAAGGCUGAUUUCUAGCAAUACCUUUAA